rnacentral:lncRNA from 1 species
AUGAAUGUUUGAUGUACUUAUUGUUAAGUAUGCUGUACUGUGUAUUACUGGCAUACUAAAAUUAUCAAGCUUUCAACCCUUACAGAUCAACACAUUGUUAGGUUGAUCAACUCAUUCUAGUUGUUUUCAGUAGUAACCCAUUUGGUUAAAGGAGAUUGAAUAUUUAAAGCCAAAAAUGACUGAGCUAGAAAAUGUUAAUGGAAUCAAUAUUGAAGAAAUGCAAGCAUUAAGAGAUAAUGUUCAUAAUGCUAACAACAUUGAAACUAAGAAAGGCAAAGUAUGACAUUUAUUACUCAGAAACUUAACUACUGAUAUUUAUAACCAAAAAGGAUUCAGAUCCAUUCAUAAGCAGAAAAGGAGUAAUAUAGGACUCCCUUGAAAAUAGCAAUCAAAUAAAAUGUAGCCAUUCUAAGGAAUAAAUAAGAAAGUAGCUGAUUAUUUCACCUGACUUCAAGAAAUGUGUGAAUGUAUUUAUUUAUUUUCCUAGACUUUAUCAAAAUUCU